UACGAAGGGGACUAGCGUUGCUCGGAAUCACUGGGCGUAAAGCGCACGUAGGCGGAUUGCUAAGUCAGGGGUGAAAUCCUGGAGCUCAACUCCAGAACUGCCUUUGAUACUGGCGAUCUUGAGUCCGGGAGAGGUGAGUGGAACUGCGAGUGUAGAGGUGAAAUUCGCAGAUAUUCGGAGGAAUACCAGUGGCGAAGGCGGCUAACUGGACCAUUAUUGACGCUCAGGCACGAAAGCGUGGGGAGCAAACAGG
rnacentral:rRNA from 1 species